rnacentral:rRNA from 1 species
CCCUUGUUUUUGCGUACCUAUUGUUUCCUCGGCGGGCUUGCUCGCCGGUUGGACAAAACUAUAACCUUUUUUAAAUCUUCAAUCAGCGUCUGAAUUAUACAUAAUAAUUACAACUUUCAACAACGGAUCUCUUGGUUCUGGCAUCGAUGAAGAACGCAGCGAAAUGCGAUAAGUAGUGUGAAUUGCAGAAUUCAGUGAAUCAUCGAAUCUUUGAACGCACAUUGCGCCCCUUGGUAUUCCAUGGGGCAUGCCUGUUCGAGCGUCAUUUGUACCCUCAAGCUUUGCUUGGUGUUGGGCGUCUUGUCUUGUAUUAGACUCGCCUUAAAGUCAUUGGCAGCCAGUGUUUUUGGUAGUAAGCGCAGCACAUUUUGCGUCUUAGUCCUUGAAUCGUGGCAUCCAUGAAGCCUUUUUUCACUUUUGACCUCGGAUCAGGUAGGGAUACCCGCUGAACUUAAGCAUAUCAAUAAGCGGAGGAAGA